GAACAAACCCUUCUGUUAAAACCUUCAGAAUACAGACAGGAAUACAUGUGGAAAGCUUGUAUGGGAGUGCUACUGAAGUGAGAAAAACGGCUUUUAAAAGAUAUGGAUUGUCAAAUUCUGAAUAUAUCAGCAUGAAAGCUGCCCCAGUUGAUUACUUGCAUUAAGACAGUCAUUUUUUUUGCAUUACAAGUUCUCUGAAAUGUUAUGUUUAAAUAUGCAAAUGAGGCAUUGUCUAAUGCUAACUUUUGGUGAAUGUGUAUUUUGGAUGUUCUCCCCCACUAGUCUGACAGAAGACAUGUUAGUAGAAUAGCCAAAAAACAGA